rnacentral:rRNA from 1 species
UACGAAGGGGGCUAGCGUUGCUCGGAAUCACUGGGCGUAAAGCGCACGUAGGCGGAUUGCUAAGUCAGGGGUGAAAUCCUGGAGCUCAACUCCAGAACUGCCUUUGAUACUGGCGACCUUGAGUCCGGGAGAGGUGAGUGGAACUGCGAGUGUAGAGGUGAAAUUCGUAGAUAUUCGCAAGAACACCAGUGGCGAAGGCGGCUCACUGGCCCGGUACUGACGCUGGGGUGCGAAAGCGUGGGGAGCAAACAGG